CGUAACCGCCGGUCCCUGAGCUCGUCCCAUCAGUUGCUCAACAACCUGCAGCCUGGUGCAGUUUCCACAAUCGAACCAUGGAGCCCGGGGCAAAAUACCGAGCAGCCCCAGCGUAGACACCCCCAGCACACGCGUCCAGGAAUUAUAACCAGAGCGCAGAGAAGGCAGCGGGAGGGUGGAGACCCCGGCCAAGGAAACAACGAAAAGUCUCCUUCCCCCUUUUCUUCUGCUACACAGCCAUGAAGAAAAGCGACGGGGUGGUGGGGUGGCGGGGGGAGCCAAAUGCUUGUCUUCCUUUACGUUUCCUCGCUUCACACACACCAAGGGAGUAAAAACGGAGCAAAGAGUGGAGGGUUCAAAUGUCUCUCCCAGUCCACAGUUGCACAACUUCGGAGUCAGGCUCUGGCUCCAGCAGCAGCCGAGGGACCCCAGCGGCAGCUAUUAACAUGCGGCAGUCAUAGCUGGGGCUGCUUUUCCUCCUGCUGCUGCUACCGCUUAAGGAAACACGCUGCUGAAGAGACCAAAAAUCUGCCACCAUCCCCCCAGUCGAUCUUUAUAUCCAGUUCUCCCACCCCACCCCCUUUCUUUUUCUUCUUCUUCCUCGUCCUCCCCUUUCCGCUGGAGAGCGGGAGCGAUGGAAAAGGUAGGGGGAGCCGCGAGGGCUAGGGGUGGAUCCUUCUCCGCCAAACCCUCCUCCUUCUCCUCUCGGGGUUCUCUCGCCGCCGAGGGUCUCCCCCACGCGUCCGAAACCUCCGCCGAGAGCGGGAGCGAGGGACCCACAAACUCCUUCCCAGGUGCACAGCGGGGGCUUGCCGGCGGAGCGGGAGCCCGGCCGCCUAGGGCUGCUUCCCGGGGGCCGCGGAGCCCCGAGCCCGGAGGGUGGCUGAUUAGCUCGUCGGCCCGGCCGGGCAGCUGCGGACAUGUGGGAGCUUCAUCGCGCGGCCCCGGGCUCGGCGCUGCCGCCGCUGCCUCCGCCGCCUCUUCGCUUCGUUCUCUUCUUCGACUCCCCGCGAGGGAGCAAGGUUCUGGCGCUCUCCAGACACGCACACUCACACACACGCACACACGAGCGAGCUUCUGCCAAAGCCAGCCGUGCAACCCGCGCGCGCGCACACCCGGAGAAAGAGGACGGAGGCAAAAAGAGAAGAAAGAAAGGGGAGGGGGCGAGUCACAGGCGGCAGCUGCGGGAGCUGAGGCCACGAGCAGUCCGGGAAAAGGCGGCAGCGGCUGCGGCGGCGCCCACCCGGACCAGCGGCACCUUCUGCAUCCCCGCUCCUGGGAACUGGGGCGAGCAGACAACCGGGCGACGCGCCGAGAACCGGUCGGAGCGCGGGCGCGCCGAGGCCGAGCAGCCUGCGUGCCGCGGACGCAGCCGGGGCCCUAGCCGAGCCCAGAAUGAGCCGCGGGCAAGCGAGCGCCGAGAGCCGAAGAGGGGGCUCGCGCCGCGAGAAGGGGUGGCGGGAGGCAAAACCCGGAUCUGGAGUGCGCUCGGGCUCCGCCGCGCGGGCUCCACCUAGCAGCUCGACAAACGCUUGGAGAUGUCACUUCUACAGAAAUAAACAGAGGUAUGGACAAGGCUUUUGCACAGUGGCAUACCUCUCAGUUGUAAUUGUUGUAUAAAGAAACACUUAAAACUUCAAGAAUAAUUCUGCAAUAGGCUAACCAGCCUUUGAAAUAACCGCAGGACUCUAGCCUUAUACAACUCAUGGGAACCUUGGGAAGCUAUGAUCUCAUCAAGUGUAAGGAGAUGUAACCUAAGGUAUUGGAGGAAGGAGUGGUAGAUACCUAAGAAUAGCUCCUUUAACCCUGAUUCCACCACAUGGGAUGCUAACAUAAGUCUGUCCUGUCUUCCAGCAGCUGGAUUCCAGGGUAUCUUUUGAGAAAUGUUGACCUCUGGACUUGCAUUAUACAGAAAUGAAAGAAAUGUGUGUGUGUUUUUAAAAGUAGUGAUUAAGGGUUUGUCAGGCUUUCUACUAUUCUUUCAUCAUGUACUGAAACCUAUGAAAGUGACAAAGUGUGUCACUAGAAGGCUUUUGUUAAAAUGUAAACAAGUAAGAUAUUCUUAAUGAUGUGCUUAAAAUUUUCAAACCAGUAACUAAAAAAAAAUUUUCCCAACUUUUUAAAUUGAAGUAUAGUUGAUGUACACUGCUAUGUUAUUUUUCAGGUGUACAAUGUACUGAUUGGACAUUUAAAUAAAUACAUUA
ensembl:lncRNA